rnacentral:rRNA from 1 species
GAUGAACGCUGGCGGCGUGCUUAACACAUGCAAGUCGAACGAAGCGCUUAAGCUGAUUUCUUCGGAUUGAUUCUUGAGUGACUGAGUGGCGGACGGGUGAGUAACGCGUGGGUAACCUGCCUCAUACAGGGGGAUAACAGUCAGAAAUGGCUGCUAAUACCGCAUAAGCGCACAGUACCGCAUGGUACAGUGUGAAAAACUCCGGUGGUAUGAGAUGGACCCGCGUCUGAUUAGCUGGUUGGUGGGGUAACGGCCCACCAAGGCGACGAUCAGUAGCCGGCCUGAGAGGGUGAACGGCCACAUUGGGACUGAGAUACGGCCCAG